rnacentral:lncRNA from 1 species
GCAAGCCCCGCCCCGCCCCUGCCAGAAGCUGGGCACGCCCCCGUUCUGAACGACCCCGCCUUCCCGCCCAGCUGUUGCGAUGCGUACCUUCUUGAGGAGCCAUGGAGGAAGACCUUGAGCCGUCAGAGAAAACAGGCGAGAGAUAAAGAAGGAAGACUCUGUUGCACACAUCUUGCCACACUUGUGUCUGUGCGUGGAAGACCCUCUUUUCUGGCUGAUCGGCUGACCUUUGCAGAGGUUUGCAUCUGUGUGCAGAUGUGCAUGCAUUGCCCACCCACUAGUGCAGUUGCUGGACAGUUGGGGAAGGAAGGAGGCUGCAUUCACCAGCUCUGCUCUGAGCAAUGGUGCCACUUUGGGACUCAUAUAAUGGAUCAUAGCUGUUUUUUUUUACUUACAACCAUAUAACAUCUUGCUUUGGGAUGGGACCCGAGCAUCUACUGGCCAGAUACCCUUCCUGAUGCCUACAUGGAGUUUGCAGCAGAUAUUUUCACUUUGCAUCCUGAUAAAGAAAUAUAUUGCUGCCUAGGAUUGAAGUCUCAACCUUUCAUGUGGGAGGCAAGCAUCAUUACCUCUAGGCUACCUGUGGCCGCUUAUAUAAUGGAUUGUGGUGUCCUCUUCAAAAUAAAGCAUCAAGCUGAGAGACUUCAAUUCAAAUCUCUGCCUUGAAGCUCACUACAAGUCCUCCUCGACUUAUGACUGAUACUGAGCCAGGAAUUUCAGUCAUAAGUCAUGGUGGUCAUUAAGCAGGUCACUACAUGGUAUUGCAACCUUCCCCCCCCCCCAUGGUCAUUAAAAACACUGCAAUCCUUAAGUGAACUCUGCAGUCAUUACACAAACACCACGGUUCUUAAGCAAGACCAUUUUCUUCAGUUGAAGAAAUGAAGUUAAUCCUGGAAACUGGUUAAAAACAUAUGCCAACAAUUGUGGUCACAUGACCUCAGGACAUGAAAAUAAAUGUAAGUCAGUUGCUAAGCACCAAAAAUGUGAUUACAUGACGAGUGUGUGUGUGUGUGUGUCUGUGUGUGUGUUUAUCACCGUCAGAACUCUGGAACCAGAUCUUAAUUACCCAGAGCGGGAUGGAGC